ACGGAAAGGCCCUGCUUGCAGGGUACUCGAGUGGCGAACGGGUGAGUAACACGUGGGUGAUCUGCCCUGCACUUCGGGAUAAGCUUGGGAAACUGGGUCUAAUACCGGAUAGGAGCCAUCUUUAGUGUGGUGGUUGGAAAGUUUUUUCGGUGUAGGAUGAGCUCGCGGCCUAUCAGCUUGUUGGUGGGGUAAUGGCCUACCAAGGCGGCGACGGGUAGCCGGCCUGAGAGGGUGUACGGCCACAUUGGGACUGAGAUACGGCCCAGACUCCUACGGGAGGCAGCAGUGGGGAAUAUUGCACAAUGGGCGCAAGCCUGAUGCAGCGACGCCGCGUGGGGGAUGAAGGCCUUCGGGUUGUAAACUCCUUUCGCUAGGGACGAAGCUUUGUGUGACGGUACCUAGAUAAGAAGCACCGGCUAACUACGUGCCAGCAGCCGCGGUAAUACGUAGGGUGCGAGCGUUGUCCGGAAUUACUGGGCGUAAAGAGCUCGUAGGUGGUUUGUCGCGUCGUCUGUGAAAUUCUGGGGCUUAACUCCGGGCGUGCAGGCGAUACGGGCAUAACUUGAGUGCUGUAGGGGUAACUGGAAUUCCUGGUGUAGCGGUGAAAUGCGCAGAUAUCAGGAGGAACACCGAUGGCGAAGGCAGGUUAC
rnacentral:rRNA from 1 species